AAAUUGAAGAGUUUGAUCAUGGCUCAGAUUGAACGCUGGCGGCAGGCCUAACACAUGCAAGUCGAACGGUAACAGGAAGAAGCUUGCUUCUUUGCUGACGAGUGGCGGACGGGUGAGUAAUGUCUGGGAAACUGCCUGAUGGAGAGGGAUAACUACUGGAAACGGUAGCUAAUACCGCAUAACGUCGCAAGACCAAAGAGGGGGACCUUCGGGCCUCUUGCCAUCGGAUGUGCCCAGAUGGGAUUAGCUAGUAGGUGGGGUAACGGCUCACCUAGGCGACGAUCCCUAGCUGGUCUGAGAGGAUGACCAGCCACACUGGAACUGAGACACGGUCCAGACUCCUACGGGAGGCAGCAGUGGGGAAUAUUGCACAAUGGGCGCAAGCCUGAUGCAGCCAUGCCGCGUGUAUGAAGAAGGCCUUCGGGUUGUAAAGUACUUUCAGCGGGGAGGAAGGGAGUAAAGUUAAUACCUUUGCUCAUUGACGUUACCCGCAGAAGAAGCACCGGCUAACUCCGUGCCAGCAGCCGCGGUAAUACGGAGGGUGCAAGCGUUAAUCGGAAUUACUGGGCGUAAAGCGCACGCAGGCGGUUUGUUAAGUCAGAUGUGAAAUCCCCGGGCUCAACCUGGGAACUGCAUCUGAUACUGGCAAGCUUGAGUCUCGUAGAGGGGGGUAGAAUUCCAGGUGUAGCGGUGAAAUGCGUAGAGAUCUGGAGGAAUACCGGUGGCGAAGGCGGCCCCCUGGACGAAGACUGACGCUCAGGUGCGAAAGCGUGGGGAGCAAACAGGAUUAGAUACCCUGGUAGUCCACGCCGUAAACGAUGUCGACUUGGAGGUUGUGCCCUUGAGGCGUGGCUUCCGGAGCUAACGCGUUAAGUCGACCGCCUGGGGAGUACGGCCGCAAGGUUAAAACUCAAAUGAAUUGACGGGGGCCCGCACAAGCGGUGGAGCAUGUGGUUUAAUUCGAUGCAACGCGAAGAACCUUACCUGGUCUUGACAUCCACGGAAGUUUUCAGAGAUGAGAAUGUGCCUUCGGGAACCGUGAGACAGGUGCUGCAUGGCUGUCGUCAGCUCGUGUUGUGAAAUGUUGGGUUAAGUCCCGCAACGAGCGCAACCCUUAUCCUUUGUUGCCAGCGGUCCGGCCGGGAACUCAAAGGAGACUGCCAGUGAUAAACUGGAGGAAGGUGGGGAUGACGUCAAGUCAUCAUGGCCCUUACGACCAGGGCUACACACGUGCUACAAUGGCGCAUACAAAGAGAAGCGACCUCGCGAGAGCAAGCGGACCUCAUAAAGUGCGUCGUAGUCCGGAUUGGAGUCUGCAACUCGACUCCAUGAAGUCGGAAUCGCUAGUAAUCGUGGAUCAGAAUGCCACGGUGAAUACGUUCCCGGGCCUUGUACACACCGCCCGUCACACCAUGGGAGUGGGUUGCAAAAGAAGUAGGUAGCUUAACCUUCGGGAGGGCGCUUACCACUUUGUGAUUCAUGACUGGGGUGAAGUCGUAACAAGGUAACCGUAGGGGAACCUGCGGUUGGAUCACCUCCUUACCUUAAAGAA
rnacentral:rRNA from 4 species